CACUGUGGACAUAUAGAGAUGGUUCUAGGACCUAGCACUGGGAGCUCUAACAUGAUCUUAUAUAGCUAGAAAGAAAGUACUUCUUCAUUGUUUGCAAUAGAGGAGUGAUAGAUAAAGUGGUGACAGAGGAAAGAGACAAGAAAAGGAAUAUAAAGUAGGGAAAAUUGUGAGGUUGUGAUCAGACUGAGCUCAGAAACAAACUUUCUGCUUCCUUGGUGAGUGGCAGGAAUUACUACAAACUCUGGCAUGCUUUCUUAAUUGUACCACAAAAAGUGAAGGUGAAACAUGACCUUAAUACUUCCAGAAAGCCCUGAAUAGUUCUUGUUUGACAUAUAAGUAUGAGUAAAGGAUUCAGGUAGCUUCUAUAUAUUAUUAAUAAUUCAGCUUUAAAGCCAAACUUUCUUAACUACCUCUCACUUAGAUUCCUGGAUUUUAGAUUUUUAAGGCUGUUAAGACCUUUCCAUAGUGCAUCUGCUCAUGCGUUUGAAUCACAAUUUUGUAAUAUUAAGUAACCAAAUUAAAAUACCCAAAUAAAAUGAGUGUUAAGAUUUGUUAAGUCUAAAAUAGCCCUCCAUGACAUCUGACCUAAUAUGUUUUUUCUCCAAAAACAGAUUGUUUGUUCUCAUUGAUUUACUUAUUGCACAUAAAUAUUUUGAAAUUUAAUUUAUAAAUUUAUUUAGCAAAAUACUACCUUUAAGAUGCAUGUAUUUGGAUUAAUAUAUCAACAUUAUUCUAGAAAGAGAACUCUCUUUAUAUUAUAUUACAUUAUUAUUUAUAUUAUUAUUCUUUCUCUCUAGAAGAGAGAGAAUGAUGAGAAAUUGCUCAGUGUUUACCUUUGUGGAGAGGGCUCAGAGGGAAGGGGAAGAAGCUUUUACUCUUUAUUUUGUAUCUUUAUGUAUGGUUUCAGCUUCCUAGUUAAAUUUGUUUUACUUCUGUAUUUUUUGUCCUUGGCUGUGGACUUAUGAGCCAUUUUUGUUUUCUUUCUUAUAAUACAAUCAUGUGCCACAUAAUAAUGUUUUGGUCAAUGACAGACUGCAUAUGUGACAGUGGUCCUGUGAGAUUAUAAGACUGUGUUUUUAAUGUACCUUCUCCAUGUCUAGAUAUGUUUAGGUACACAAAUACUUACCGUGUGUUACAGUUGCCUACAGUAUGCAGUAGAGUAACAUGCUGUUCAGCUUGUAGCCCAGGAGCAGGAGGCUCUACCAUACAGCCUAGGUGUGUAGUAGGCUAUACCAGCUGGGUCUGUGCAAGUGCACUCUAUAACGUACUCACAAUGAUGAAAUCACCUAAUGACACAUUUCUCAGAAUGUAUCUGCAAUGUUAAGUGCUACACAAGUGUACUUUCUAUUUAAAAACAAUAAAUUCAGCUGGGCAUGGUGGCUCAUGCCUGUAAUCCAAGCAGUUUGGGAGGCCAAAGUGGGAGAAUUGCUUGAGGCCAGGAGUUUGAGACCAGCCUGGGCAACAUAUCGAGACCUGCAUCUCUACAAAAAAAUUUUUAUAAUAAAAAAAUUAGCCAAGCAUGGUGACAUGUAUCUGUAGUCCUAGCUACUCAGGAUGCUGAAGUGGGAGGAUCCCUGGAGCCCAGGGUGUCAAGGCCACAGUGAGCUAUGAUUACACCACUGCACUCUAGCCUGGGCAGAAGAGAGAGACUCUGUCUAUGAAAAAAUAAAAAAAAAAACUUUGUAUUUUAAUUUUAAAAACCUUUUAUUUAUUUUAUAUGUUUGGUUUCUUUGUGUGAUUUUACCUGGGAAAACUGGAAUCUGCUUUAGAAAGUUUAGGCCGGGUGUGGUGGCUCACACCUGUAAUCCCAGCACUUUGGGAGGCCGAGGCGGGCGGUUUACGAGGUCAGGAGAUCGAGACCAUCCUGGCUAACACGGUGAAACCGUCUCUACUAAAAAUACAAAAAAUUAGCCAGGCGUGGUGGCAGGCGCCUGAAGUCCCAGCUACUGGGGAGGCUGAGGCAGGAGAGUGG
rnacentral:lncRNA from 1 species